rnacentral:lncRNA from 1 species
AUCUUUUUCUGUUUCCCUCAAGCCUCAGCAAAGUGUUUCAGGAAACAAGGAGAGCUCUCAAGUGGAGUCAACCAAAGAAGGAAAUCCAACUACCCCUGCGUGUGACUCUCAAGAUGAUGGAAAGACCUGUUCAAUGGAAAACAAAGAAAAUUCUGUAAGAAAUGCCACUGCAGAAUCAAAGCCAGUCCCACAGAAAUUGCAAAUGCCUCCUUGUUCUGAAUGUGAGAUGAAGAAAGUCCCAGAAAAACAGUUAACCAGCUUCGAAGGCACAGCUCCCAGAGAAGAAAAAAUACUGUAAACACCACAAAACUGCUUUGCAAACGUCCCUUUGCUGUCAUCUUCAUAUUCUUUUUAGACUACAGGCUUGAGGGAAAUACUGUUUCUAAAGCAUGCAAUUUUUUCACAACUUUACUUAACUUUUGAAGUAGUCCAGAAACUUUCCAAAAGAUCCCAGACCAAUUAUGAUCCUUAAGCAAUAACCUCCAUGAAAUGGAUUUAUGCAGUCAGAAAUAUUUUACCAUCAUCACUAAAUUGCUAAAUAUAAGUUGUUUUAUUUUGGACUAAAAUGCAUUGUAACACUUUCUUCUUCUUGUUCAUUUGGAUGCUAGUAUUUCUAUGACCUAGUUAUUUAGAUCAGCUGAAGGAAAAAUGCUUCCAGUCUUCAGUAUUCUUAAAAUCUAAUUUGUAACCACAUCCUUAAAGUUUGGUGCCAUAUGCAAAUUAGGACUACCAUAUUUCAAAUGUAAAAUUCUGCCUACCUUGCUAUAUUCUUUUCGUAAUGUUGUGUUCAACAUUUUUCUUAUCUUUAACAAUAAUUUACUUUAAGUUAUGACAGUGCAACUCUGGUAAGUAUUUAAGCAGCUAAUGAAAAUCAUUAAAAAUAUUUGGGGUGAUGCAGACAAACUACCUGGAUAAAUGAUCAAGUUAUGACACAGCUGAAUUUUUCUCUGCUGCAUCCUGUGGUCACAUCUUUUAUGUACUUUACUAUAAUUACUUUAAUUUGGGAAUUGAGUUGUUUGAAAUGCUGAACAUUAGUCUUGGUACAGAAUUGUGUAAUAGAGUAAAAAAGAUUUGAAAUUACAAAUUUGCAAACUGAUCAUAUAUAUAUAUAUAUAUAUAUAUAUAUUAAUUGAUUUUGCUAAAUGAAUCUGGUAGUUAAC